GAUGAACGCUGGCAGCGUGCCUAAUACAUGCAAGUCGAGCGAACAGACGAGGAGCUUGCUCCUCUGACGUUAGCGGCGGACGGGUGAGUAACACGUGGAUAACCUACCUAUAAGACUGGGAUAACUUCGGGAAACCGGAGCUAAUACCGGAUAAUAUAUUGAACCGCAUGGUUCAAUAGUGAAAGACGGUUUUGCUGUCACUUAUAGAUGGAUCCGCGCCGCAUUAGCUAGUUGGUAAGGUAACGGCUUACCAAGGCAACGAUGCGUAGCCGACCUGAGAGGGUGAUCGGCCACACUGGAACUGAGACACGGUCCAGACUCCUACGGGAGGCAGCAGUAGGGAAUCUUCCGCAAUGGGCGAAAGCCUGACGGAGCAACGCCGCGUGAGUGAUGAAGGUCUUCGGAUCGUAAAACUCUGUUAUUAGGGAAGAACAAAUGUGUAAGUAACUAUGCACGUCUUGACGGUACCUAAUCAGAAAGCCACGGCUAACUAUGUG
rnacentral:rRNA from 1 species